AUAAUACUCCCUCAGUCCGAAAAAGCUUGUCCCAAGUUUGUCUCUCAAAUGGAUGUAUCUAGCACCAAGUUGGUGCUAGAUACGUGCUAGAUACAUUCAUUCGAGGGACAAGUUUUUUCGGAUGGAGGGAGUAUGAG
rfam:Triticum aestivum genome assembly, contig: Triticum_aestivum_CS42_TGACv1_scaffold_456512_5DS